rnacentral:rRNA from 1 species
UACGUAGGUGACAAGCGUUGUCCGGAUUUACUGGGCGUAAAGAGCGCGCAGGCGGUCGAUCAAGUCGAGUGUGAAAGCCCCGGGCUCAACCUGGGAAUUGCAUUCGAGACUGAAUAGCUAGGGUACGGUAGAGGGAAGUGGAAUUUCCGGUGUAGCUGGUGAAAUGCGUAGAUAUCGGAAGGAACAUCAGUGGCGAAAGCGACUUCCUGGACCAGUACCGACGUUCAGGCACGAAAGCGU